CGCCAGUGUGUCCCGUGAAUGACGUACACUGCUGGCCCGUCUCUAUGUCCCAAAGUGCACUGCAUGGUACACAAAGGCAAAACACCUGAGCCAAGUGGUGUGAAGAAAUGUGGCUUGUGUAUUUGAUCUGCCAGAGAUCGCCAACAUUGACUCCCUUGUCAGACUGUAUAUGGAGAUGUCACUCUUUCUCAAAUCCAAGCAAAUCUGAUCACAUCCAAGUGUAGUAUGAGGCAAGGCAUUAUAUUUUUUAACGCUGCUCCAAGCCUAAUAAAUUUCAUUUCUUCAA